rnacentral:rRNA from 1 species
AAGGCAGCAGGCACGCAAAUUACCCACUCCCGGCACGGGGAGGUAGUGACAAAAAAUAACGAUACGGGACUCAUCCGAGGCCCCGUAAUCGGAAUGAGUACACUUUAAAUCCUUUAACAAGGAUCCAAUGGAGGGCAAGUCUGGUGCCAGCAGCCGCGGUAAUUCCAGCUCCAUUAGCGUAUAUUAAAGUUGUUGCGGUUAAAAAGCUCGUAGUUGGUUCUGUGUCCCACGCUGUCGGUUCACCGCCUGUCGGUGCAACUGGCAUGCCGUGGGAUGUCCUGUCGGUGGCGGCCAUGACCCACGGCGGGUGUAGGGCAACCGAAGCCCGUCGCUGUGCGUCAGGUCGCCGAUUCAAUCCUGCCGCGGUGCUCUUCAUUGAGUGUCGAGGUAGGCCGACACGUUUACUUUGAACAAAUUAGAGUGCUUAAAGCAGGCUAACAAUGCCUGGAUAUUUUUUGCAUGGAAUAAUGGAAUAAGACCUCGGUUCUAUUUUGUUGGUUUUCGGAACCCGAGGUAAUGAUCAAUAUGGACAGUCGGGGGCAUUCGUAUUGCGACGUUAGAGGUGAAAUUCUUGGAUCGUCGCAAGACGGACUAGAGCGAAAGCAUUUGCCAAGUAUGUCUUAGUUGAUCAAGAACGAAAGUUAGAGGUUCGAAGGCGAUCAGAUACCGCCCUAGUUCUAACCAUAAACGAUGCCAGCCAGCGAUCCGCCGAUGUUCCUCCGAUGACUCGG